GGCGCUAUAGCCAAGUGGUUACGGCGACAGAUUAGAAUCUGGUUGAAUUCGUUGAUGUGGUCUAUCUGUUCCUCUUUGAGGGCGCAGGUUCGAAUCCUGCUGGCGUCG